GCUUGCCAAAGCUGGAAACAUAUAGUACAACAGAAGAUUUGUAAGAUAUCGUAUAGAGGUUCCCGAACGUGGGAUGUAAUAAGACAAGCCCCUUAACGUGUAAACGUAAAAGGCAGUACGAGGCCUUGAUGUACUGGUUAUGAUUGAAUAUAAGCGUAAGGAAAUGGAAAUACCUGAAACAAAAUUGGCCGGAAGAACAACGCUGUCCAGGUUUUACCAGGAACUUGCUAACCAUAGAAAUAGGCACCUAAGAUACACGUGUGAUAUAAGGAC